AUGGAUUGGAAUCCAAAUAUACUCUCUUGGAACGUGAUGGGUCUUAAUAACCCUGCUAAAAGAAACGCGGUAAGGGAGUUUGUAAUAGAUGCUAGAGUGAACUUGGUGUGUCUCCUUGAGACGAAACUACAUGUACUGGAUCAAUACUUGGUGAUGCAAUGUAUUGGGCCAUCGUUUGAUGGCUUUGCUUACCUGCCGGUGAUCGACACGAGGGGUGGUAUUUUGCUCGCGUGGGACAGUUCUUUCAUGGAGAUUGAUAACUUCUCCUGGGACUCUAACUUCCUUACGGGGCGUGUGCAUAACAAAGAUGGAUGGGAGUGGUGGUUAUCCGUGGUCUAUGGCCCACAAGGGGAU
rnacentral:rRNA from 1 species